AUUGGAAGUAAAAGUCGUAACAAGGUUUCCGUAGGUGAACCUGCGGAAGGAUCAUUAAAGAAUCGCCCCGUUUUUUGAAAUGGGUUCUAUUCCCAAACCGUGUCUACAUACCUUUGUUGCUUUGGCAGGCCGCCGCUUAGGCGUUGGCUCCGGCUGACUGCGCCUGCCAGAGGACCCAAACUCGUUUGUUUAGUAAUGUCUGAGUACUAUAUAAUAGUUAAAACUUUCAACAACGGAUCUCUUGGUUCUGGCAUCGAUGAAGAACGCAGCGAAAUGCGAUAAGUAAUGUGAAUUGCAGAAUUCAGUGAAUCAUCGAAUCUUUGAACGCACAUUGCGCCCCUUGGUAUUCCGAGGGGCAUGCCUGUUCGAGCGUCAUUAUAACCACUCAAGCCUCGGCUUGGUCUUGGGGUUCGCGGUUUCGCGGCCCUUAAAAUCAGUGGCGGUGCCGUUUGGCUCUAAGCGUAGUAAUUCUCUCGCUAUAGGGUCCAGGUGACCACCUGCCAGAACCCCCCAUUCUUUACGGUUGACCUCGGAUCAGGUAGGGAUACCCGCUGAACUUAAGCAUAUCAAUAAGCGGAGGAAAUC
rnacentral:rRNA from 1 species